rnacentral:ncRNA from 1 species
GGCAGGAUAAAAACGCAACGCGUCCUUUUUGAGGAUGCCAGAGCUGGUAGGUAGCCCAGCCGUCUGCGCCGCAUGGCACAGGUAAGUAACCCUCCCCUCCGGGUCGUCCGUUUCUGC